rfam:Schistosoma mattheei strain Denwood, Zambia genome assembly, scaffold: SMTD_scaffold0015176
AUCCAGCUGAUGAGUCCCAAAUAGUACGGAACGUUCGUACUGGAU